rnacentral:rRNA from 1 species
AUGGUGAUGGGCUAUUCCCCGGCUGAGGCCCUUGACAUUGCCAACCGCCUCAAUUGCCGCCUGGGUUCCUUCCCAAUGACCUACCUGGGAACGUCCAUUAGUGACUCUCGGCUCACUGUGGCGGACCUUCGUCCUGCGGUGACCAAGUUGCAAACGCGCAUUGAGCCUUGGCAGGGUCGGUGGCUCUCGAAGGCGGCCCGGACGAUUCUCAUCAACUCCUUGCUCUCUAGUCUCCUCUUAUUCCUUAUGAGCUUCUACAGCCUCCACGAGACCCUCCAUCACGAGAUCGCUAAAAUCCAAUCGCGCUUCUAUUGGGCUGGGGACAAUAACAAGCAGAAGUAUCAUAUGGUUAGUUGGCCCGACAUCUGCAAGCCCCGGGAGCAGGGAGGCCUUGGCAUCAUGUUCUCGAAGCGCAUGAACAUUGCCCUCCUCUCCGCUGGCUCUGGCGCAUCGCACAAGGGCAUGGCGGUCUGUGGUUAG